CCUUCCCUCAGCCGCAGAUGCGGUAUUACCGUCCCUCCUCUUUCCCAUCACUCAUUGGUUCAAAUACUCCGGUGGCGUCUCCAUACUAAACGUCAUUUUAUGAAAAAUGCCCCACUUUGUGCUGACACCUCCUCAGUGUUUCAAUUUGGGACGCGCUUCUGCUGCGGUGCAGUGAUCGUUUCAAACGUGCAGGCUAAAAUAAAAACCCGUUCACUUAUAAAGGGAGCUGAGCACAUUCUGACGGAAACAGUGCCUACAGCAGCUUCUCCGAACUCUGGACGUAGCAGCCUCAUGUACUUCUGAUCUGGUUACUCUGACAAGCUUCCAAACCCAAGCGAUACAAUGCAGGUUUUCAUGUGCAGGUGAAAGGCCAACAUUGUGCCAACCGGGAGUUGGAUAACAUUUCGAAACCAGUCUCACACCAAGUCCACCAGGCAGGUACCAAAACAGCACCGGCAACCUGAGGCCAGCAGUGUCACUCCGAGACACUCUUCACCCAAACCUACAGCUAUCCCCUACCAAUUAUUUGGAACAACUUCCAACAUCAUUAUCACAGAAACAUCAGUCAGGGGCGAGAUACAAUGUUUGCAAGCCUUAAUCGCGUUUCUUUUUUCUUGAAGCAUGUUAUUCUUCAAGGUUUCAACAGCUAAUGAAAUGAGAUAAUUGUUGACAUGUUAGAUAUACAAUUACCACAAAGGGUAAACCUUGUACAAUAAAGAUCAAUUCAACCUCACACUGAAA